rnacentral:rRNA from 1 species
GACGAACGCUGGCGGCGUGCCUAAUACAUGCAAGCCGAGCGGACAGAAGGGAGCUUGCUCCCGGAAGUUAGCGGCGGACGGGUGAGUAACACGUGGGCAACCUACCCUGUAGAUCGGGAUAACAUCGAGAAAUCGGUGCUAAUACCGGAUAAUCAUUUGAAGUGCAUGCUUCGAAUGUAAAAGAUGGCUCCGGCUAUCACUACGGGAUGGGCCCGCGGCGCAUUAGCUAGUUGGUAAGGUAAUGGCUUACCAAGGCAACGAUGCGUAGCCGACCUGAGAGGGUGGUCGGCCACACUGGGACUGAAACACGGCCCAGACUCCUACGGGAGGCAGCAGUAGGGAAUCUUCCGCAAUGGACGAAAGUCUGACGGAGCAACGCCGCGUGAGUGAUGAAGGUUUUCGGAUCGUAAAGCUCUGUUGUUAGGGAAGAACAAGUGCCGUUUGAAUAAGGCGGCACCUUGACGGUACCUAACCAGAAAGCCACGGCUAACUACGUGCCAGCCGCCGCCGUAAGAC